rnacentral:rRNA from 1 species
CGAAGGAUGCAAGCGUUAUCCGGAUUCAUUGGGUUUAAAGGGAGCGUAGGUGGCCUUAUAAGUCAGUGGUGAAAUCUCUGGGCUUAACCCAGAAAUUGCCAUUGAUACUGUAGGGCUUGAGUAUAGAUGCCGUUGGCGGAACAUGACAUGUAGUGGUGAAAUACAUAGAGAUGUCAUAGGACACCGAUUGCGAAGGCAGCUGACGAAACUAUAACUGACACUGAGGCUCGAAAGUGCGGGGAUCAAACAGGAUUAGAUACCCUGGUAGUCCGCACUGUAAACGAUGAUUACUCGCUGCUAGAUGGCAACAUUUAGUGGCUUAGCAAAAGCGAUAAGUAAUCCACCUGGGGAGUACGCCGGCAACGGUG